CCUACGGGAGGCAGCAGUGGGGAAUCUUGGACAAUGGGGGGAACCCUGAUCCAGCGACGCCGCGUGAGUGAAGAAGUAUUUCGGUAUGUAAAGCUCUAUCAGCAGGGAAGAAAGAAAUGACGGUACCUGACUAAGAAUCCGCGGCUAACUACGUGCCAGCAGCCGCCGUAAUACGUAGGGGGCAAGCGUUAUCCGGAUUUACUGGGUGUAAAGGGAGGGUAGAAGGUGGUGCAAGUCUGAAGUGAAAGGCUGGGGGCCAACCCCAGGAUUGCUUUGGAAACUGUAUGGCUGGAGUGCAGGAGAGGUAAGUGGAAUUCCUAGUGUAGCGGUGAAAGGCGUAGAUAUUAGGAGGAACACCAGUGGCGAAGGCGGCUUACUGGACUGUAACUGACGUUGAGGCUCGAAAGCGUGGGGAGCAAACAGGAUUAGAUACCCCAGUAGUC
rnacentral:rRNA from 1 species